rnacentral:rRNA from 1 species
CACACGUGCUACAAUGGCCGGUACAGAGGGAAGCAAUACCGCGAGGUGGAGCAAAUCCCAUAAAGCCGGCCUCAGUUCAGAUCGGAGGCUGCAACUCGCCUCCGUGAAGGCGGAAUCGCUAGUAAUCGCGGAUCAGCAGGCCGCGGUCGAAUACGUCCCCGGGCCUU